GGAAGGGCAAGAAAUGCCCAAGGCUUAUAUUGUUGUGUCUCUACACAGUAACUCAUCAUUCAAGUAAAUUAAAACCUCAAGGAAUGUUAACAAUAAUGACUAAUACAACUACCUUGGGAAGAUAAGAUGUGGACUUACCAUGAAUCAGACAGCCUGGGUGUGUCCUCCAUAUCAAUUACAGAUGUUCCCAACAUACUCUGAAAUCAGUACAGUCCAGACUCCUGAACUUGGAUCUUGGCCAGGUAGAAAUCUGGCCAAUCUGAAGGAAGGAGGCACUUAGAAUGGACCACACCGCUCGUUUUCCUGGGAAUAUUGCUUCUCUCUGGCAGCCCCAGCACAAAGGAUGAAGGAAGACGUGUGCACCUAAGUUCUUCUCGUUGUAAGGAAA
rnacentral:lncRNA from 12 species